rnacentral:misc_RNA from 1 species
GAAAUGCGAUAAGUAAUGUGAAUUGCAGAGUUUUGUGAAUCAUCGAAUCUUUGAACGCACAUUGCGCCCUUUGGUAUUCCUUAGGGCAUGCCUGUUCGAGCGUCAUCUAAACCUUCAAGCCCUGCUUGGUGUUGGGUGCCUGUCCCGCCUCCGCGCGCGGACUCACCUCAAAUCCAUUGGCGGCCCCCGCGUCGGCCACGAGCGCAGCAGAAACGCGAACUCGUGAGCACGUCCGGGCGGCUCCCAGAAGCUACACCCACCCAGUUUGACCUCGGAUCAGGUAGGGAUACCCGCUGAACUUAAGC